UACGAAGGGGGCUAGCGUUGUUCGGAAUUACUGGGCGUAAAGCGCACGUAGGCGGAUCGAUCAGUCAGGGGUGAAAUCCCAGGGCUCAACCCUGGAACUACCUUUGAUACUGUCGAUCUGGAGUAUGGAAGAGGUGAGUGGAAUUCCGAGUGUAGAGGUGAAAUUCGUAGAUAUUCGGAGGAACACCAGUGGCGAAGGCGGCUCACUGGUCCAUUACUGACGCUGAGGUGCGAAAGCGUGGGGAGCAAACAGG
rnacentral:rRNA from 1 species